rnacentral:snoRNA from 1 species
ACACAGUUAAGAAAACGAUGAUGUACAAUGGGCUGCAAAUAGUAGCCUCCUUGGUAGUGUUUGUAGCCUGUUACUUGCAUAUGUUGCCCUAGGGAUGUUGGUGACCACC